rnacentral:rRNA from 1 species
CCUACGGGAGGCAGCAGUAGGGAAUUUUCGUCAAUGGGCGCAAGCCUGAACGAGCAAUGCCGCGUGAACGAGGAAGGUCUUCGGAUCGUAAAGUUCUGUUGACGGGGAAAAAGAGCGGAGAGAGGAAAUGCUUUCUGAUUGAUAUUACCCUUCGAGGAAGUCCCGGCUAACUACGUGCCAGCAGCCGCGGUAAUACGUUGGUGGCGAGCGUUAUCCGGAAUGAUUGGGCGUAAAGGGUGCGUAGGCGGCCUGCAAAGUCGGGGGUGAAAGGUACCGGCUCAACCGGGACAGGCUCUGGAAACUGGCGGGCUAGAGAGCAGGAGAGGGCGGUAGAACUCCAGGUGUAGCGGUAAAAGGCGUAGAUAUAUGGAAGAACACCAGUGGCGAAGGCGGCCGCCUGGACUGUGACUGACGCUGAGGCACGAAAGCGUGGGGAGCAAAUAGGAUUAGAUACCCUGGUAGUC